rnacentral:lncRNA from 10 species
CUCACUCCGCUCCGGAGGAGACGGAACACAGAAAAGAACAGGAUCUUCCUUGUUCGUGAAGGUCCUCCGCUUUCUCCUAGACGACGGGAUUUAGUACCGCCUGGGGCCAAACACCAGCUUGGGCAGCAAAACAAAGGCGCCUCCAUUCCAGAAGAGCUGCCGGGCUGCAAGAAAACUACUCUGGGCCCUCAGUGCGCCGGUCCCCUUUGUUUCGUGUCCCGGUCGCAGAGGAGAAGGAAGAGGGAAGACUGCGCGGGAGAGACGCAGGCAGCGGGAGUUUGCUCUGUCGCCCAGGAUGGAGUGCAGUGCAGUGGCGCGAUCCUGCAACCUCCGCCUCUCGAGUUCAAGCGAUUCUCCUGCCUCAGCCUCCCGAGUAGCUGGGAUUACAGACGCGCGCCACCCCACCCAGAUGAUCUUUUUAAAUGCAAAAUGCCAUCGACGCAGAAA